rnacentral:rRNA from 1 species
UACGGGGGGAGCAAGCGUUGUUCGGAUUUAUUGGGUUUAAAGGGUGCGUAGGCGGUCUUUUAAGUCAAUUGUGAAAUCUCCGAGCUUAACUCGGAAAGGUCAACUGAAACUGUGCGACUAGAGUGCGGAAGGGCAACUGGAAUUCUUGGUGUAGCGGUGAAAUGCAUAGAUAUCGGGAGGAACACCGGUGGCGAAGGCGGGUCUCUGGGCAAUUCCUGACGCUGAGGCGCGAAAGCGUGGGGAGCAAACGGG